GAUGAACGCUGGCGGCGUGCCUAAUACAUGCAAGUCGAGCGAACGGACGAGAAGCUUGCUUUUCUGAUGUUAGCGGCGGACGGGUGAGUAACACGUGGAUAACCUACCUAUAGACUGGGAUAACUUCGGGAAACCGGAGCUAAUACCGGAAAAUAUUUUGAACCGCAUGGUUCAAAAGUGAAAGACGGUCUUGGCGGUCACUUUAAGUGGAACCGCGCUGCAUUAGCUAGUUGGUAAGGUAACGGCUUACCAAGGCAACGAUGCAUAGCCGACCUGAGAGGGUGAUCGGCCACACUGGAACUGAGACACGGUCCAGACUCCUACGGGAGGCAGCAGUAGGGAAUCUUCCGCAAUGGGCGAAAGCCUGACGGAGCAACGCCGCGUGAGUGAUGAAGGUCUUCGGAUCGUAAAACUCUGUUAUUAGGGAAGAACAUAUGUGUAAGUAACUGUGCACAUCUUGACGGUACCUAAUCAGAAAGCCACGGCUAACUACGUG
rnacentral:rRNA from 1 species